rnacentral:miRNA from 14 species
CUUUCGGGUAACAAUUAAAAAU